rnacentral:rRNA from 1 species
GACGUAGGGGGCCAGCGUUGUUCGGAAUUACUGGGUGUAAAGGGUUCGUAGGCGGUGUGGCAAGUCGGGAGUGAAAUCUUUGGGCUCAACCCAGAGGCUGCUUCCGAAACUGCCGUGCUUGAGUGUGGGAGAGGCGCGUGGAAUUGCAGGUGUAGCGGUGAAAUGCGUAGAUAUCUGCAGGAACACCCGUGGCGAAAGCGGCGCGCUGGACCACUACUGACGCUGAGGAACGAAAGCUAGGGGAGCAAACAGG